rnacentral:lncRNA from 1 species
GGGCACACAUAGAGGAAAGACCACGUGAGGACACAGGAGCUGGUGGCCGUCUGCAUGCUAGGGAGAGAGGCCUCAGGAGAAACCAACCCUGUGGACACCUUGAUGUCAGACCUCCAGCCUCCAGAACCAUGAGAGAGAAAUUUCCAUUGUUUACAAGCUCCCCGGUUGAUGUAUUUUGUAGGGCAGCUCUAGAAAAGUAGCACAUUACCCAAAGACAGGUGUUGGCCCUCAUUUUUGCUUUUGGGAGAGUGAUUCUCACGAUUUAGGCAGACAGAGAAAAGUUUCCUUUUAAACCUAGUGCCUGGAACAGAAUUUUUUUAAACUUAGAAUUCCAUUGAUAAAAUUGAAGAUGAUUUGGUUGAAUUCAAAGCCGAGGCUGAGAAUAAUUAAAAUGGGAAAGCAUUAAAAAAUGGUGAAGGCAAGAUUAAAAUUGUGGAAAAAGGUGAGAAAGAAAGCCGAUAAAGCCAAUAGUAGUGGAGCAAAUAAGGAAUAAAAUCACUUUAGGCAAAGAAAACUCCUUUCUUUCAGUGUAAUAAAGCACUGUUGGCCUUCUGAGUCACUGGAUUACGUGGACUUCUGCUGGCUGCCUCAAAAUCUUGCCGUCAUUUUUACAUUGUUCUAUGGGAAAAUCGUUUUGCAUUCUAAAUAAAAUUCCAAGUGAAUUUUGGAUUACAACAUGUCUUUAAAUUAGGCCAGCCGCUUUCUAGUUUGGAAAGGAGGCCGUGGUUCCUGCCAACACCCAGAUUGGUAUAUCACAUCCCAUAGGAAGAAAAAAUAAAAAUAAACUGUCACAUCACAACAGAGUAGAAAUUCAUUCCCUGCCUUGUAAAUGUGUUCUAGGCAUGGAAGGCUAACUUCGCCCCUGUUAAAUCCGACUUUAUUCGUGAACUUUCCUCUUUAAUUUUUGUGUAUUCCAAAGUUUCUGCAACAACAUAUUUCAUUUUUUGCAAUCAGAGAAACAAUAUAACAAAUACCUUUUUCAAAAAGAGAAAUACUCUGGAGUUUCCUUUCAAGAGAUUUUUUAAAAAAUCAUUGAAGCUGAAAAACCUCCAUUUGAUUCUAAGAUUUCUUUUUCUUUUUCUUUUCUUU